rnacentral:rRNA from 1 species
CGAAAGCUAGGGGAGCAAACAGGAUUAGAUACCCUGGUAGUCCUAGCCGUAAACGGUGCACGUUGCUGUAAAAGGAAUCGACCCCUUUUGUGGCGUAGCUAACGCGAUAAACGUGCCGCCUGGGAAGUACGGUCGCAAGAUUAAAACUCAAAGAAAUUGACGGGGGCCUGCACAAGCGGUGGAGUAUGUGGCUCAAUUCGAUGCAACGCGAAGAACCUUACCUGGCCUUGACAUGUACGUAGUAGAAGGGUGAAAGCCUGACGAGGUAGCAAUACCAGCGUACACAGGUGCUGCAUGGCUGUCGUCAGCUCGUGUCGUGAGAUGUUGGGUUAAGUCCCGCAACGAGCGCAACCCUUGUGUCCUGUUGCCACUCGAACGAGAGUUCGAAGCACUCUGGACAGACUGCCUCGCUUAAACGAGGAGGAAGGUGGGGAUGACGUCAAGUCAGUAUGGCCCUUACGGCCAGGGCUGCACACGUACUACAAUGCCCGGCACAAAGGGAAGCAAGACCGCAAGGUGGAGCAAAUCCCCAAAAACCGGGCCCAGUUCAGAUUGUUGUCUGCAACUCGACAGCAUGAAGUUGGAAUCGCUAGUAAUGGCGCAUCAGCUACGGCGCCGUGAAUACGUUCCCAGGCCUUGUACACACCGCCCGUCACAUCAUGAAAGCCGUUUGUACCCGAAGUCGCCGUGUUAACCGCAAGGAGACAGGCGCCGAAGGUAUGGAUGGUGAUUGGGAUGAAGUCGUAACAAGGUAGCCGUA